CUGGCGGCGUGCCUAAUACAUGCAAGUCGAACGGUCUUUCUAUGGAAGCUUGCUUCCACUGAGAAGAUAGUGGCGAACGGGUGAGUAACACGUGGGUAACCUGCCCAUAAGAGGGGGAUAACAUCCGGAAACGGGUGCUAAUACCGCAUAGUUUUCUUGAUCGCAUGAUUGAGAAAGGAAAGACGGCCUUUGUGCUGUCGCUUAUGGAUGGACCCGCGGCGUAUUAGUUAGUUGGUGAGGUAACGGCUCACCAAGACGAUGAUACGUAGCCGACCUGAGAGGGUGAUCGGCCACAUUGGGACUGAGACACGGCCCAAACUCCUACGGGAGGCAGCAGUAGGGAAUCUUCCGCAAUGGACGAAAGUCUGACGGAGCAACGCCGCGUGAGUGAAGAAGGUUUUCGGAUCGUAAAACUCUGUUGUCAGAGAAGAACAAGUUGGAGAGUAACUGCCCCAGCCUUGACGGUAUCUGACCAGAAAGCCACGGCUAACUACGUGCCAGCCGCCGC
rnacentral:rRNA from 1 species